AUUGAACGCUGGCGGCAGGCCUAACACAUGCAAGUCGAGCGGCAGCGGGAAAGUAGCUUGCUACUUUUGCCGGCGAGCGGCGGACGGGUGAGUAAUGCCUGGGAAAUUGCCCAGUCGAGGGGGAUAACAGUUGGAAACGACUGCUAAUACCGCAUACGCCCUACGGGGGAAAGCAGGGGACCUUCGGGCCUUGCGCGAUUGGAUAUGCCCAGGUGGGAUUAGCUAGUUGGUGAGGUAAUGGCUCACCAAGGCGACGAUCCCUAGCUGGUCUGAGAGGAUGAUCAGCCACACUGGAACUGAGACACGGUCCAGACUCCUACGGGAGGCAGCAGUGGGGAAUAUUGCACAAUGGGCGCAAGCCUGAUCCAGCCAUGCCGCGUGUGUGAAGAAGGCCUUCGGGUUGUAAAGCACUUUCAGCGAGGAGGAAGGGGUGUGUGUUAAUAGUACACACCUUUGACGUUACUCGCAGAAGAAGCACCGGCUAACUCUGUGCCAGCAGCCGCGGUAAGAC
rnacentral:rRNA from 1 species